CGGCUUCAGGAACGGGGGGAACUCCCCCAUACACACUUCUCAUUUUUAAACACUGAGCAGGGCUGACAUGUAACCCUGAGCUCGACAUUUUAUGGAGACAUUGACCAACUUCGGUGAGUGAAAUCCCACAAUUAGGACAUGGUGAUCUACGAGAGAAGGCGUUGAUGGAGCAGUGGAGGGAUGCUGGGAAUCCUGGAGAAUACAGGAUUAAGCUAGCAUGGAGGAUGAACACUAAGCUUUUCAUCUCAGCUAUGUGAUGUGAAUCCCAUCAGACACUGAAGUUAAUUAGGUCAUGCAAAAUUUCAUUAUUAAGCAGCCAGUUUGAUGUGGAACCCACAGACAGACUGGCUGUCAUGACCUGCGCAUCCAGUCCUCGUGUGUGCCACGCCCCCUGAUCAUCCACGUGUGCUCCCUCGAUUGUGCCCAGCUGUUUCCUAUCAGUCUGUGUAUUUAGUCCAUGUCUGAGUCCAUAUUCCCCAUAUCUGUCAUUGAUG